UUGUAUUCUAUCUCAUUGCAGGAAUGUCGUUCAUGGCAGUGACAGUCCUGAGAAUGGCAAGCGUGAAAUAGCACUCUGGUUCAAAGAGGGAGAACUAUGCGAAUGGACACCAGUUCUAGAGCCAUGGUUGACGGAAUAGUAUUUUUAUGUAUUAUUGCUCUUGUAUCGUUUUCGGGGUUCUUUUCCAGCCAUCUUGAGGACUGAUUCGUCCACUUUUUUGUAACUUUUUAGACGUACAUUCAAUACUUAAAUAUUGUACUCAACUGUAUUAGUUGAGAAAAAUAAGUUCCAAGUUUUAUCCAUUGUAAGGGCUAGUCAUUCCCGGAAGAACAGUAACUCCCAAGUGCCGUUGCUUCUUUGUCAAUUGAUUUUGUCUCUAUGAUUGUUCAA